rnacentral:rRNA from 1 species
CAGCAGUCAAGAAUAUUAGUCAAUGCUCGUAAGAGUGAACUAGCUAACUGAAAUCGCAAAUGUGUCAUUUGUGAUAAAGUAAGAGAAAAUUAUGAUAUUAUCUUACUACUAGUGCUGUCCAAAACUGGUGCCAGAAGACUCGGUAAGGCCAGAGGCGCAAACGUUAGUCGUCCUAAUCAGGCGUAAAGGGUUUGUAGGCUGCUUUGAAAGUCUUAUUAUUAUAAUAGCUAUUAAAUGAUAAGAUGAAUUGAAGCUAGAAUCUAAUAGAGGGUAAAACAAAUAAUAUUUAAAGUAAGGAUUAAAUCUCAAGAGUUUAGAUGGAAUACUAACGGUUAAAGCUUUUAUCUAUCUACAGAUUGACGCUGAGAAACGAAAGGGAGGUAAGGAAACAGGAUUAGAUACCCAACUACUGCUCCCUGUCAACGAUGAAUGGUGGUUGCUAGUUAUAACUACUUUAAGUAAAUAUUUUAUAUUAUAUAAGAUAAAAUAAGUAGUUAAAAUGACUGGUAGCGAUGCUAACGCGUUAACCAUUCCGCCUUGUGAGUACGACUGCAAAGUUGAAAACAAAAAAAUUAGUCGGUUUCGAAGCAAACGAAGUGANANGCAUGUUAUUUAAUACGAUAAUCCGC